AGCGAUGAAGCUCCUUCGGGAGUGGAUUAGCGGCGGACGGGUGAGUAACACGUGGGUAACCUACCUCAAAGAGGGGGAUAGCCUCCCGAAAGGGAGAUUAAUACCGCAUAAUAAUCAGUUUUCGGAGACUGAUUUAAAGGAGUAAUCCGCUUUGAGAUGGACCCGCGGCGCAUUAGCUAGUUGGUAGGGUAAAACGGCCUACCAAGGCGACGAUGCGUAGCCGACCUGAGAGGGUGAUCGGCCACAUUGGAACUGAGAGACGGUCCAGACUCCUACGGGAGGCAGCAGUGGGGAAUAUUGCACAAUGGGCGAAAGCCUGAUGCAGCAACGCCGCGUGAGUGAAGAAGGUUUUCGGAUUGUAAAGCUCUGUCUUUGGGGACGAUAAUCACGGUACCCAAGGAGGAAGCCACGGCUAACUACGUGCCAGCAGCCGCGGUAAUACGUAGGUGGCGAGCGUUGUCCGG
rnacentral:rRNA from 1 species